CCCUUAGAUGUUCUGGGCCGCACGCGUGCUACACUGAGUGGAUCAGCGGGUCAGGUUGCGCGAAAGUGUUUCCUAAUCUUUAAAUCCGCUCGUGAUGGGGAUUGACGGUUGCAAUUUUCCGUCAUGAACGAGGAAUACCUUGUAAGCGCGGGUCAUCAUCCCGCGCUGAAUACGUCCCUGCCCUUUGUACACACCGCCCGUCGCUCCUACCGAUUGAGUGGUCCGGUGAGGCUUUGGGACCUGAGCGGAAAGAGCGUUUCGCUGUUUCUGCCCGGAAAACUCAGUCGAACCUUAUCAUUUAGAGGAAGGAGAAGUCGUAACA
rnacentral:rRNA from 1 species